GCAUGGUUCAAAAGUGAAAGACGGUCUUGCUGUCACUUAUAGAUGGAUCCGCGCUGCAUUAGCUAGUUGGUAAGGUAACGGCUUACCAAGGCAACGAUGCAUAGCCGACCUGAGAGGGUGAUCGGCCACACUGGAACUGAGACACGGUCCAGACUCCUACGGGAGGCAGCAGUAGGGAAUCUUCCGCAAUGGGCGAAAGCCUGACGGAGCAACGCCGCGUGAGUGAUGAAGGUCUUCGGAUCGUAAAACUCUGUUAUUAGGGAAGAACAUAUGUGUAAGUAACUGUGCACAUCUUGACGGUACCUAAUCAGAAAGCCACGGCUAACUACGUGCCAGCAGCCGCGGUAAUACGUAGGUGGCAAGCGUUAUCCGGAAUUAUUGGGCGUAAAGCGCGCGUAGGCGGUUUUUUAAGUCUGAUGUGAAAGCCCACGGCUCAACCGUGGAGGGUCAUUGGAAACUGGAAAACUUGAGUGCAGAAGAGGAAAGUGGAAUUCCAUGUGUAGCGGUGAAAUGCGCAGAGAUAUGGAGGAACACCAGUGGCGAAGGCGACUUUCUGGUCUGUAACUGACGCUGAUGUGCGAAAGCGUGGGGAUCAAACAGGAUUAGAUACCCUGGUAGUCCACGCCGUAAACGAUGAGUGCUAAGUGUUAGGGGGUUUCCGCCCCUUAGUGCUGCAGCUA
rnacentral:rRNA from 1 species